AUGAACGCUGGCGGCGUGCCUAAUACAUGCAAGUCGAGCGAACAGACGAGAGUGCUUGCACUCUCUGACGUUAGCGGCGGACGGGUGAGUAACACGUGGGUAACCUACCUAUAAGACUGGGAUAACUUCGGGAAACCGGAGCUAAUACCGGAUAAUAUUUAGCUUCGCAUGAAGCAAUAGUGAAAGACGGUUCUGCUGUCACUUAUAGAUGGGCCCGCGGUGUAUUAGCUAGUUGGUGAGGUAACGGCUCACCAAGGCAACGAUACAUAGCCGACCUGAGAGGGUGAUCGGCCACACUGGGACUGAGACACGGCCCAGACUCCUACGGGAGGCAGCAGUAGGGAAUCUUCCGCAAUGGACGAAAGUCUGACGGAGCAAUGCCGCGUGAGUGAAGAAGGUUUUCGGAUCGUAAAACUCUGUUGUAAGGGAAGAACAAGUACGUUAGUAACUGAACGUACCUUGACGGUACCUUACCAGAAAGCCACGGCUAACUACGUG
rnacentral:rRNA from 1 species